rnacentral:rRNA from 1 species
UUGACGGGGCCCGCACAAGCGGUGGAGUAUGUGGUUUAAUUCGAUGCAACGCGAAGAACCUUACCUGGUCUUGACAUCCCGGAGACCCUUAGGAAACUAGGGGGUGCUUCCAUCUGGAAGAAUCUGGAGACAGGUGCUGCAUGGCUGUCGUCAGCUCGUGUCGUGAGAUGUUGGGUUUAGUCCCGCAACGAGCGCAACCCUUGCCUUUAGUUGCCAGCAGUUCGGCUGGGCACUCUAAAGGGACUGCCGGUGUUAAACCGGAGGAAGGUGGGGAUGACGUCAAGUCCUCAUGGCCUUUAUGACCAGGGCUACACACGUACUACAAUGGCCGAUACAAGGGCAGCGACACUGCGAGGUGAAGCCAAUCCCGUAAAAUCGGUCUCAGUCCGGAUUGGAGUCUGCAACUCGACUCCAUGAAGUUGGAAUCGCUAGUAAUCGUGGAUCAGCAUGCCACGGUGAAUACGUUCCCGGGCCUU